AUGGCAGUAGUGCAAACACGCUGGCGCAAAAAGAACGGGGGUAUGCAAGAACAAGUCAGGGUGCAAUGGUCCAAUUCUGCAACCUUGGGCACCACCUGGGAGGAUAAGGCCAGCCUCAUGGCGCGCUUCCCGCAUGCAGAGGCUUGGGGACAAGCCUCAUCUCAAGGAGAGGGGGAUGUUAGCGCCCCUAACGAGAGGGACCCACUGGGCAGCGACCACAACAACUCUACGGCUGCCCAGCGGCCCACACGAGUCAAGCGGCCCAGCCCGCGCACCCACGGGCCUGAAUGGAUCAACUGA
rnacentral:rRNA from 1 species